GUUCUAUCAUACGCAGUCUAUUAUUUGGUUCUUGUUGAUCAUUAUCAUAGAAAGCAGCAGUGAAGGGGAUGUUACGGAACAAUUUCCACGGGCCCAAAAAGAAUCAAGAGAAUGUGAGGAAAUGAGUAUCCAAGUGUCAUCUGGUCUUACCUGGAGUUGUGGACGUUAGCAGAGCUGCAGUAUAUUGAAGGAUAUCUUAUAGGU